CCUGGCUCAGGAUGAACGCUAGCUACAGGCUUAACACAUGCAAGUCGAGGGGCAGCAUGGUCUUAGCUUGCUAAGACUGAUGGCGACCGGCGCACGGGUGAGUAACACGUAUCCAACCUGCCGUCUACUCUUGGACAGCCUUCUGAAAGGAAGAUUAAUACAAGAUGGCAUCAUGAGUCCGCAUGUUCACAUGAUUAAAGGUAUUCCGGUAGACGAUGGGGAUGCGUUCCAUUAGAUAGUAGGCGGGGUAACGGCCCACCUAGUCUUCGAUGGAUAGGGGUUCUGAGAGGAAGGUCCCCCACAUUGGAACUGAGACACGGUCCAAACUCCUACGGGAGGCAGCAGUGAGGAAUAUUGGUCAAUGGGCGAGAGCCUGAACCAGCCAAGUAGCGUGAAGGAUGACUGCCCUAUGGGUUGUAAACUUCUUUUAUAAAGGAAUAAAGUCGGGUAUGGAUACCCGUUUGCAUGUACUUUAUGAAUAAGGAUCGGCUAACUCCGUGCCAGCAGCCGCGGUAAUACGGAGGAUCCGAGCGUUAUCCGGAUUUAUUGGGUUUAAAGGGAGCGUAGAUGGAUGUUUAAGUCAGUUGUGAAAGUUUGCGGCUCAACCGUAAAAUUGCAGUUGAUACUGGAUAUCUUGAGUGCAGUUGAGGCAGGCGGAAUUCGUGGUGUAGCGGUGAAAUGCUUAGAUAUCACGAAGAACUCCGAUUGCGAAGGCAGCCUGCUAAGCUGCAACUGACAUUGAGGCUCGAAGGUGUGGGUAUCAAACAGGAUUAGAUACCCUGGUAGUCCACACGGUAAACGAUGAAUACUCGCUGUUUGCGAUAUACUGCAAGCGGCCAAGCGAAAGCGUUAAGUAUUCCACCUGGGGAGUACGCCGGCAACGGUGAAACUCAAAGGAAUUGACGGGGGCCCGCACAAGCGGAGGAACAUGUGGUUUAAUUCGAUGAUACGCGAGGAACCUUACCCGGGCUUAAAUUGCAGAUGAAUUACGGUGAAAGCCGUAAGCCGCAAGGCAUCUGUGAAGGUGCUGCAUGGUUGUCGUCAGCUCGUGCCGUGAGGUGUCGGCUUAAGUGCCAUAACGAGCGCAACCCUUGUUGUCAGUUACUAACAGGUUCCGCUGAGGACUCUGACAAGACUGCCAUCGUAAGAUGUGAGGAAGGUGGGGAUGACGUCAAAUCAGCACGGCCCUUACGUCCGGGGCUACACACGUGUUACAAUGGGGGGUACAGAGGGCCGCUACCACGCGAGUGGAUGCCAAUCCCCAAAACCUCUCUCAGUUCGGACUGGAGUCUGCAACCCGACUCCACGAAGCUGGAUUCGCUAGUAAUCGCGCAUCAGCCACGGCGCGGUGAAUACGUUCCCGGGCCUUGUACACACCGCCC
rnacentral:rRNA from 1 species